AGCCGAGUAGAGAAGUAGUAUCUCACAAGGCUCAUAACCUUGGGACCGCAGGUGCAAUUCCUGCCUCGGCAA
rnacentral:tRNA from 1 species